rnacentral:rRNA from 1 species
UCAAGUUAUUAAGGGUGCAGGGCGGAUGCCUUGGCACUAGGAGCCGAUGAAGGACGUGAUAAGCUGCGAUAAGCUUCGGGGAGUUGCACGUAAACUUUGAUCCGAAGAUUUCCGAAUGAGGAAACUCACUUAGAGUAAUGUCUAAGUAUCAUUAAGUGAAUACAUAGCUUAAUGAGGGGAACUCAGGGAACUGAAACAUCUAAGUACCUGAAGGAAGAGAAAGAAAUUCGAUUCCGUAAGUAGCGGCGAGCGAACGCGGAUUAGCCCAAACCAAUAAAGUUUUCUUUAUUGGGGUUGCGGACAUAUCAUAACGAAGAGGUAUCGUAAUUGAAGAGGUUUGGAAAGACCCACCACAGAAGGUAAUAGUCCUGUAUGUUAAACGAGAAGACUUUAGAUAUGAUCCAGAGUACCACGGGACACGUGAAACCCUGUGGGAAGCAGGAGGGACCACCCUCCAAGGCUAAAUACUACCUAGUGACCGAUAGCGUAUAGUACCGUGAGGGAAAGGUGAAAAGAACCCCGGGAGGGGAGUGAAAUAGAACCUGAAACCCUGCACUUACAAGCUGUGGAAGCACAUUUCUUGUGUGACCGCGUACUUUUUGUAGAACGGGCCAACGAGUUACGUUAAGUAGCAAGGUUAAGCACUUAAGGUGCGGAGCCGUAGCGAAAGCGAGUUUUAACUGAGCGUUCAGUUACUUGACGUAGACCCGAAACCGGGCGACCUACCCAUGAGCAGGAUGAAGCGAAAGUAAAAUUUCGUGGAGGUCCGAACCCACGAGCGUUGAAAAGCUCGGGGAUGACUUGUGGGUAGCGGUGAAAUUCCAAUCGAGCCCGGAGAUAGCUGGUUCUCCCCGAAAUAGCUUUAGGGCUAGCCUCAAGGUGAGAGAUACGGAGGUAGAGCACUGAAUGUCCUAGGGGGUAUUGCACCUACCGAAGACUAUCAAACUCCGAAUGCCGUCAUCUUAUACUUGGGAGUCAGACUGUGGGUGAUAAGAUUCAUAGUCGAAAGGGCAACAGCCCAGAUCGUCAGCUAAGGUCCCUAAAUGUAAGUUAAGUGGUAAAGGAUGUGGGAUUGCACAGACAACCAGGAUGUUGGCUUAGAAGCAGCCACUCAUUCAAAGAGUGCGUAAUAGCUCACUGGUCGAGUGAUCCUGCGCCGAAGAUUUCCGGGGCUAAAACUUACUACCGAAGCUACGGCAUCAGUAAUGAUGGGUAGGGGAGCUUCCCAUACGGGUUGAAGCAUGACCGUAAGGACAUGUGGACAGUAUGGGAGUGAGAAUGUUGGCAUGAGUAGCGAGAUGUGGGUGAGAAUCCCACAGGCCGUAAACCCAAGGUUUCCAGGGGAAGGUUCGUCCGCCCUGGGUUAGUCGGGACCUAAGCUGAGGCCGAAAGGCGUAGGUGAUGGACAACAGGUUGAUAUUCCUGUACUACCGAUAACCGUUUGAGAGAAGGGAUGACACAGUAGGAUAAGCUAAGCACACUGUUGGUUAUGUGUGCCCAAGCAUUGAGGCAGUCAAAGUAGGCAAAUCCGCUUUGAUAAUGCUGGGAUGUGAUGGGGAGCGAAAUUUAGUAGCGAAGUAGCUGAUUUCACACUGUCAAGAAAAGUCUCUAUCGAGGUUAAAGGUACCCGUACCGCAAACCGACACAGGUGGGUGAGGAGAGUAUCCUAAGGCCAGCGAGAGAACUGUUGUUAAGGAACUCGGCAAAAUGACCCCGUAACUUAGGGAUAAGGGGUGCCACCAUCAGGUGGCCGCAGAGAAUAGGCCCAAGCGACUGUUUACCAAAAACAUAGGUUUCUGCUAAGUCGCAAGACGAUGUAUAGGAGCUGACGCCUGCCCGGUGCUGGAAGGUUAAGGGGAUCUGUUAGAGCAAUCGAAGCAGUGAACUUAAGCCCCAGUAAACGGCGGCCGUAACUAUAACGGUCCUAAGGUAGCGAAAUUCCUUGUCGGGUAAGUUCCGACCCGCACGAAAGGCGUAACGAUUUGGGCACUGUCUCAACAACAGACUCGGUGAAAUUGUAAUUCCGGUGAAGAUGCCGGAUACCUGCGACAGGACGGAAAGACCCCAUGGAGCUUUACUGUAGCUUGACAUUGGGUCUUGGUACUACAUGUACAGGAUAGGUGGGAGGCUUUGAAACCAGGACGCCAGUUUUGGCGGAGCCAUCCUUGGGAUACCACCCUUGUAGUACUGGGACUCUAACCAUAGGCCAUGAAUCUGGUCUUGGGACACUGUCAGGUGGGCAGUUUGACUGGGGCGGUCGCCUCCCAAAAGGUAACGGAGGCGCUCAAAGGUUCUCUCAGUACGGUCGGAAAUCGUACGUAGAGUGUAAAGGCAAAAGAGAGCUUGAUUGCAAGACAUACAGGUCGAGCAAGGACGAAAGUCGGACUUAGUGAUCCGGUGGUUCCGCAUGGAAGGGCCAUCGCUCAACGGAUAAAAGCUACCCUGGGGAUAACAGGCUGAUCUCCCCCAAGAGUCCACAUCGACGGGGAGGUUUGGCACCUCGAUGUCGGCUCAUCACAUCCUGGGGCUGUAGUAGGUCCCAAGGGUUGGGCUGUUCGCCCAUUAAAGUGGUACGCGAGCUGGGUUCAGAACGUCGUGAGACAGUUCGGUCCCUAUCCGUCGCAGGCGUAGGAAAUUUGAGAAGACCUGUCCUUAGUACGAGAGGACCGGGAUGGACGUACCUCUGGUGUACCAGUUGUCCUGCCAAGGGCAUGGCUGGGUAGCUAUGUACGGAAUGGAUAAGCGCUGAAAGCAUCUAAGCGCGAAGCCAACUUCAAGAUAAGAUUUCCCACCGCAAGGGUAAGACCCCAGAAAGACUAUCUGGUUGAUAGGUCGAAGGUGUAAGUGCAGCAAUGUAUUUAGCUUAUCGAUACUAAUAGGUCGAGGACUUGACCAA